rfam:Capsicum annuum cultivar Zunla-1 chromosome 7, whole genome shotgun sequence
ACUUUAUGGUUUGGGCAUUGCAUGAUUUUCUCAUUGAACCUUUGCCACACUUCAUAUAAGGGUUCAUCACUAAAUUGAUGAAAAUUUGUAAUUCCAUCCCUUAGUU